UCGAACGAUGAAGCCCUUCGGGGUGGAUUAGUGGCGAACGGGUGAGUAACACGUGGGCAAUCUGCCCUGCACUCUGGGACAAGCCCUGGAAACGGGGUCUAAUACCGGAUAACACCCCCUCUCGCAUGGGAGGGGGUUGAAAGCUCCGGCGGUGCAGGAUGAGCCCGCGGCCUAUCAGCUUGUUGGUGAGGUAGUGGCUCACCAAGGCGACGACGGGUAGCCGGCCUGAGAGGGCGACCGGCCACACUGGGACUGAGACACGGCCCAGACUCCUACGGGAGGCAGCAGUGGGGAAUAUUGCACAAUGGGCGAAAGCCUGAUGCAGCGACGCCGCGUGAGGGAUGACGGCCUUCGGGUUGUAAACCUCUUUCAGCAGGGAAGAAGCGAAAGUGACGGUACCUGCAGAAGAAGCGCCGGCUAACUACGUGCCAGCAGCCGCGGUAAUACGUAGGGCGCAAGCGUUGUCCGGAAUUAUUGGGCGUAAAGAGCUCGUAGGCGGCUUGUCACGUCGGUUGUGAAAGCCCGGGGCUUAACCCCGGGUCUGCAGUCGAUACGGGCAGGCUAGAGUUCGGUAGGGGAGAUCGGAAUUCCUGGUGUAGCGGUGAAAUGCGCAGAUAUCAGGAGGAACACCGGUGGCGAAGGCGGAUCUCUGGGCCGAUACUGACGCUGAGGAGCGAAAGCGUGGGGAGCGAACAGGAUUAGAUACCCUGGUAGUCCACGCCGUAAACGGUGGGCACUAGGUGUGGGCAACA
rnacentral:rRNA from 1 species